UCUUCAUGAUGCAAGUCCAAUAGAUCCUUCUAACCUCCACUGUGGACUCAGUAGCAGGGAGAUGAAGAGGAAUGUGACAGAGA